rnacentral:lncRNA from 1 species
CCAGUGUUCCCUUUAGGACUCUGGAUGGCAUAGAGGAAAGCAUCCCAGACUGAGGAGAGGUUCCAGCAGCUGCAAAAUGUUGGGGUAGCAAAAAGGCCCAGCUCAGUAGUGGAGGGAAGAUGCAUUACCUCAGAGGGAGUCCAAGAGGAUGCAUUGCUGCUACUUAAGACAGAUGUCAUAUGCCAACACAGUAUUCAGCAAACAUUAAAACUGACAACCAGAAAUGGCCCUGUGGGUUCAGGCGCCAUCCUGCAAACUAGCUCUCUCUACAAUGUGUCUGAGAGAAUUCAGGAUUGAGACUCAGGAGUCAGUAGAAGACCUACACCUUUGCUCCAAUUGUGUUUCUGCUCCUCUGCCUCAGAUGUCAUCAGAUGCUUACGCCAAGGGCAACAAGGAAAGGCUACGUGAGGACACAGCAAGGAAGUGACCAUCUGCAGGCCAGGAGGAGAACCCUCCCCAGACACUGAACUGGGGACUGCUAGCCUUCAAAACAUGAGAAAUUUCUGUUCAAACCACCCAGUCUGUGGUAUUUUAUGUCAGCCUGAGCUGACUAAUACACAUUCCUUACUCCAGCCAAGUUUUUCUUGUGGGCAUUUCAUUGUAUAAUGCCCUCUUCCCCUGACCACAGUGUGGCCCUGACUCAAACUGAGCCAAUCAGAGUCCCUCUUGAAGAUUUUUCAAAUUGAGACAAAAAGGAAGAGGGCACAGGGGAAGUUGAAGACGUCAUUUUAGAGUUGCCAGUGGUGAGGACUCGAGCAAGGCACAAGAAGCCAGUCUGGGAGAAUGAAGCUAAAAUUCCAAGAGAAGCAGAAAUAACACAGAGAGAGAAGGAGAGAUUCCUGGCUGUGGUCAGGGCCUUGGUUCUAGUUGUUUUUGUGGCCCAACUGCAUGUCUCUCCUUCAGUAAUUUGAUAAUAAGCCUAUUAAUUCCUUUUAGCCCAGGCUAGCUUAAAUUGGGUCUCUGUCAUUCACAACUUAAAGUGUUCCUUAAGGCAGGAAGCAUGACUCCUGAGCUUAAUGUAACUCAAGACUCAGAGACAUUCGGUAAGAAGAAAAUUGCCUAAUGGAUAUGCAGCCCAUUCACUCUCCUAUACAUCUGCUUUCCCAAAAUUGUGCUUCAUCAUAGUAUCAACAUUCUACAUUGGUGCUCAGUAUUAGAAGCAAACCCAUAACACUGUUAUAAUUUUUUAAGACUCCUGGAGAUGUUGUACAUGAUACAGUGUCUUUUUUAAAGAUGAAUAAGAUAAAUAUAUUUCUAGUUGGAGGCUCUAAGUCUGUUUUUGAGGAGUAACUUUAGUGAAAGGUGAAUGGGAUUGGAUUCAGACACUAGAUUUCAAGUCAGGCCCUGCCACUUAGAAGCGGUGUGAGUGCUCAGAAAAACUAAGGGCAUUUGUGAAGUAAAAGUAAAUACUGUGUGUCCUACAUAUCUCACAUUGUUGUUGUCAGCCAAUGUAGGUACAAAGUGCUUGGUAAAGUAGGAACCAUAAAUAAUUGUGAUUCAUCGGUUCCAAUCCUCCUUUUACCAUGAAUUUCAAGAUAAAUUUUUCACUGUCUUUUUUUUUUCUUUCUGUACAGGAGCUCCAAAUAUUGCUGUUUGGAGAAAUCUGCACCUUAAUAAGAGCAGUUAUUUGUGAGAAAAAAAAAAGACAAGAAUAUAUAUGAGAUGGCACUUCUUUUACUAUGUGUGGAGACUCCUCUACUUACAAAUAGAUUCGUCCUGAAGAUAGUGUGUAAGUCCAUUUGUUCUCAAGUCCGAAGGGACCAGUAAAGGUAUUACCAUCUGUUGGUGGUAGGCAAAGAUAAGAGUUCUUUUUCUUUAUCUAGAUUUCUAAAUAGAAAGUCCAUAAGCAGGCGAGCUUGAGUGCUAAAUUCUUAGACACUGAGUUUGCUUCUAAACUAUUACAUAGAGCUAACCAUUUAUCUAAUUUUCUAUCUUAUUU